UUGUUUACUGCUUCAUGAUUUAUUUUGCUGCCUUCUUGAAUUUGUUUGCUAUUGUUUACUGCUUCAUGAUUUAUUUUGCUGCUUUCAUGUUCACUAUGGAGGAAAACAAGAAGAUAGGAAUGCUAACUACACUGAUAUGGUUAACAAAUACUAUGAUCUUGCUACGAGCUUUUAUGAGUUUGGGUGGGGAGAAUCUUUCUAUUUUGCACACAGAUGGAAUGGUGAGUCUCUUCGAGAAAGCAUCAAACGUCGCGAGCAUUUCCUCUCCUUUUGCUCUUUUCUGCUCUGCCUUUACUGCUUGACAAAAAUUGGUUAAAUGAAUUUUUC